CUGGAUGUUAAUGUCAAUAUUCUAUGAAUCAUCAAUAUUUUUUAUUUUUUCUUUAGAAAAUGAUAAAUUUCAAUACUUCAUUAGAAAUAAAUAAUGUCUGAUGUUAAUUUAAAUAACUACAACAGUGAUACAGAGAGCUCAGAAGAUGAAAUAGAACCAAAA
rnacentral:lncRNA from 1 species